CAGGUGCCUGAUGAGGGCAGCCAUUUUAGAGGCAAGGGCUGCCUAUAUAAACAGUGCAGUUUGGCUGUAGGAAGCCAGGCAGUAAUAUUGCCUGGCUGGAAGGCUGCUGAGAAUGACCCGGAGAUAAGGGGGAGCUGCAAGGGGAUGAAAAGAAGAACUGUGUGUUACAUAUACGUGUCCUCCUGCAUAGUGUACAUUCUGAUACAGUAAAUUCAGCCAAUUUUCUGGUAUUAUUCUCAAGCUCUGUGCCAUGGAUAUUAGAGACUUCCAUAUGGGCAUGUUCACGGAACGUGUGCUUUGCUUUGGCUCCUGAAGCUUUGGAAAAGGUGACACAGGAAUUCAUUGUAAGCAUCUGUGAUUCACUCCAAAGUAAUAAAAAUGACAUCUCAAAUCAACAAAUAAAAUGAUUGGGAUUUCACCCUAUUUUGCUAUGUAAUUGCAUUUACUAAGGGGAAAAAGUAUCUAGAACACUUUGUAACUUUUUUCUAGACACGUUUAUAGCUAUAUCCACUAGUGGAACUAAACAUCUCCCUUCCUUUUACAUAACACAAACUCUUGCAAAUAUUUAAUGUUUUAUGAGCUUAUGAUUAACUGCUGAAGAACUAAGUUUUCUAAUAAAAUAUGGGAAAAAUACUAGGUAAAUACUGUUUUCAUCACAAAUCAUCCCUUUCUUUGGCACUUGAUUACAGUAUUUAAGAUCAUGGAAUGUCAAACGUUACGUAUUUAAGCUGAUGAAGCUACCUAUUUUUUAGAAAACUAUAAACAUUUUGUUACUUUCUUCAUCCUACUAGCCUGUACUUCAGAAGGAAGAGCUUGAUUUUAUUUAUUUUUCGUAACUUGGUAUAUACAUAUAUUGGGGUUCCUUAUUUGGAAAAUGUUUACAUUACCCAUGAUUUAUAGAUGUUACAUAACAUUCUUUAAAAUCACUUUGAGAAUAAAGCAGUUCAGGUU